rnacentral:rRNA from 1 species
GACGAACGCUAGCGGCAGGCCUAAUACAUGCAAGUCGAACGGUAAGGUCUCUUCGGAGACUACGAGUGGCGCACGGGUGCGUAACACGUAGGUAAUCAACCCUCGGGUUCGGGAUAACACUUCGAAAGGGGUGCUAAUACCGGAUGCGACGAGCGUCUCCUCGGAGAUGCACGGGAAAGAUCCGCAAGGGUCGCCCGAGGACGAGCCUGCGGCCCAUCAGCUUGUUGGUGAGGUAAUGGCUCACCAAGGCUAAGACGGGUAGCUGGUCUGAGAGGAUGAUCAGUCACACUGGAACUGAGACACGGUCCAGACUCCUACGGGAGGCAGCAGUGGGGAAUAUUGCGCAAUGGGCGAAAGCCUGACGCAGCCACGCCGCGUGAGCGAUGAAGGCCU